rnacentral:rRNA from 1 species
CUUUGUUGCCAGCGAUUAGGUCGGGAACUCAAAGGAGACUGCCAGUGAUAAACUGGAGGAAGGUGGGGAUGACGUCAAGUCAUCAUGGCCCUUACGACCAGGGCUACACACGUGCUACAAUGGCGCAUACAAAGAGAAGCGACCUCGCGAGAGCAAGCGGACCUCAUAAAGUGCGUCGUAGUCCGGAUUGGAGUCUGCAACUCGACUCCAUGAAGUCGGAAUCGCUAGUAAUCGUGGAUCAGAAUGCCACGGUGAAUACGUUCCCGGGCCUUGUACACACCGCCCGUCACACCAUGGGAGUGGGUUGCAAAAGAAGUAGGUAGCUUAACCUUCGGGAGGGCGCUUACCACUUUGUGAUUCAUGACUGGGGUGAAGUCGUAACAAGGUAACCGUAGGGGAACCUGCGGUUGGAUCACCUCCUU